AAUACUUUUCUAUACACUGUUAAGUUUUUUUUUUGUGAUUUUUUCAAGUUUAACGUGAAGCUUAAAAGCUUUCGGGCUUUCCCAUAUUAUUUUUGGCAAAACUAUUUGUUUGACUCUAUUUUCAAAUAAUUUUCUCCAUACUAUUAAUUUUUUGUGAUAUUCUCAAGUUUAGCGUUAAGCUUAAAAGCUUUCGGGCUUUCACUAAUUAUUUUUUGUCAACAUGAUAAAAUAAAAAAAUUAAUUUUGAACUUCAAAACUCACAGCUUCGUAGAAAAUUUACUGCACUACAAAAUUGUUCUCCAUAAUUUUUCGUUUAAGUUAAGCUCACACGCGACAGAUAAAUUAACAAAAAUUUCUGAAACAGUCGUAAGAGACCAUUUUGCAGAUCAUUCAAUUUCUUACAAAAUCUAUGAAACGCGGUAUUUUUCACGUAGUUGUUGGCAAAAUAUGAUUUUUUCUCUCUUUUAAUGAGGAAAAAAUAGAAAACUGUUAGACUGAGCAGCCUCCCGUUACAAUUAAGAGCUCAUACUUGAAGAUAUUUUCGUGGAGCUGUCAAAGAGCCUAUUUUUCAGUGUACCAAACGAAGAAAAUAUUCGUUGUUUUUGACCCACCCUAAUACAUACAUACAUACAUACACAUGUACAUACAUAAAGAGAGAAAGCAAGAAAUCGUACACACACAAACACAUACAAAAAUUGCAAUAAAAGUAGAAACUGAAAGCCGUAAAAUCAAAUUCAACGCAAUGACGACGAACUAUUCCAAACACAGAACACGAAGUUAUACGGACGAACGGUAGCAGAACCGGGAUUGUCUACGACGUAUUGCGUGCGUACUGCAAGCAAGCAGCGGGAAAGGAAGCAAGAAAGAUAAAAAUUGUUAUUACUAGAAAAUAAUUUGCAUACGGACGAGAGGAGAAAAGAAAUCAUUUAUAAAAAAAAACACACAAUAAAAAGUUUGCACAAAAGCAAAUAAAUAUACUUACAUACAUAUAUAUAGUAUACAACUUAUACAUAUAUAUAAAAUAAAUAAAAUGAAUAUAUAGUAUAUGUAUACAUUAUAUAUAAAAUUGAAGACAUACAUACGUACAUACAGGCACAUGUAUGCGAUGCAUUGAAGCAAUGGCGCGGCACUGCACAAGUCUAGCACGGACCAUAACCGGGUGCUUGGCGAAACUUAGUGACGCUCGAAGCUUGCAAAUGUGAGUUGCGAACCACAAAAUAGUGCAAGAUGCAGGCGUAAGGCGAUAUCAUGACGAAAGCACUUGAAGUUUAUAAAGACAAAUGAAAAUUAAGGAAAUUUGUAGCUUUUAGAUAGGAUGAAAUUGAGGUAGUGCAACUGCAAAAUACAAAAACCAAAAACAAAACCAAAAAACCCAAAUGCAAAUACAAAUACAAAUAAUUUGAAUUAUUUAAGAGCAAAAUUGCAAAAAUAUGAUGUAUGAGCAAGCGCGAGGAAAAUAUAAUUGUUGAGGAAAUAGAAGAGUUGCCGGGGUGCUGCGCUUAUAGCGGCGCUUAGCGGCUGCUAGUUUGAGCAAGCAAAGCAGCUAACGGCACUCGCUGCAUCGUAUGUACCAGAUAAUUUGUAAAUUGACUCUUAAGAGCACUUACUCGUAGUUAGAAAUCGCUGAUGCAUAAAUAGUUAGCAGAAGUGUAGGGAAAAGCUAAAUGUUGCACAGGGAAACAGGCUAGCAACAACUGUGGCAUACAAGCAUUUUUUUUUAGCUAAAUAGCCAAAGUGGCUUAAUGAUUGAUCCACUGGCGCCCACGCAAUUGUAGGUGGCUCAGUCGAAGGUCAGUCCGACGACGUGUGUGUGAUGAUUAAUUGAAAUGACAAUUGUCCAAUGAUGUUACUUUAAAUUAAAGAAAAACAACAAAAAAACAAAAAAACAAAAACAAACAAACAAAUACAAAAAUAAUUAAAAUAUUAAUAAUACAGAAAAACUUCUUACCAAGCUAUUAAUGCAUAUUUAAAGAUAAUGAGAAUUUUUUUAACAUAUAAGUAUUUAUUUAUUAACUGAGCUGCUGCGGCAGCUCACACACUUGCAUACAUACAGACAUAUAUACAUAAGACACAUGCAUAUUUAUAACAAGGAAUAUUAACACAUACAGUUAUACAUACACAAAUGCAUACAUACAUACAAACAUAUAUACAUAUACAUACAAAGCAACAUGCAUACGUACCCCGUAAUUAUUUGCUAAGCAGCCAAGCAGCUAUUGAGGCUGGCAGCACACUCUAAGGAAUAUUAUAAAAAUAUUAUAAAAAUUAUAAAAAAAAAAUAUUAUGAACUUUUACACAAUAAAGCAUAAGCAAGAAGAAGUAGAAAAAAGAAGAAGACAAGGCAGACAGAUGUGUGUGUAAAUUAUACAUUUUACUGGCGCGUUGUGGUGGCAGCCACACACGCUCCAACAAAUUGAACUUGAAAAUGCAGCAAAUGA